UGCAAGUCGAACGGUGAAGCCAAGCUUGCUUGGUGGAUCAGUGGCGAACGGGUGAGUAACACGUGAGCAACCUGCCCUGGACUCUGGGAUAAGCGCUGGAAACGGCGUCUAAUACUGGAUAUGAGACGUGAUCGCAUGGUCGUGUUUGGAAAGAUUUUUCGGUCUGGGAUGGGCUCGCGGCCUAUCAGCUUGUUGGUGAGGUAAUGGCUCACCAAGGCGUCGACGGGUAGCCGGCCUGAGAGGGUGACCGGCCACACUGGGACUGAGACACGGCCCAGACUCCUACGGGAGGCAGCAGUGGGGAAUAUUGCACAAUGGGCGAAAGCCUGAUGCAGCAACGCCGCGUGAGGGAUGACGGCCUUCGGGUUGUAAACCUCUUUUAGCAGGGAAGAAGCGAAAGUGACGGUACCUGCAGAAAAAGCGCCGGCUAACUACGUGCCAGCCGCCGCGGGUAAUACAA
rnacentral:rRNA from 1 species